GCCCGGUUAGCUGCAGCCGGUAGAGCGUUGGACUUUUAAUCCAGACGGUGAAAGGUUCAAGUCCCUUAUCGGGAU
rnacentral:tRNA from 1 species